rnacentral:rRNA from 1 species
AUUGAACGCUGGCGGCAGGCUUAACACAUGCAAGUCGAGCGGGCGUAGCAAUACGUCAGCGGCAGACGGGUGAGUAACGCGUGGGAACAUACCUUUUGGUUCGGAACAACCCAGGGAAACUUGGGCUAAUACCGGAUAAGCCCUUACGGGGAAAGAUUUAUCGCCGAAAGAUUGGCCCGCGUCUGAUUAGCUAGUUGGUGAGGUAAUGGCUCACCAAGGCGACGAUCAGUAGCUGGCUGAGAGGAUGAUCAGCCACAUUGGGACUGAGACACGGCCCAAACUCCUACGGGAGGCAGCAGUGGGGAAUAUUGGACAAUGGGCGCAAGCCUGAUCCAGCCAUGCCGCGUGAGUGAUGAAGGCCCUAGGGUUGUAAAGCUCUUUUGUGCGGGAAGAUAAUGACGGUACCGCAAGAAUAAGCCCCCGGCUAACUUCGU